UCUGGGGAGAUGACCAGGUGACCAGGCAUGGUCUUUGAUGUCCAAGUUGACAGACGAGAAAGCUUCUGCUGUUCAGCAAAAUCAGAAACUCCGUCAGGAAUUGGAGCUGAUGAGAAGAGAAAUCAGCAAAAGGCACGGUGGUGGCUUCUCAGUGUUGUUUGUGGUGGUGGUCGGUCUGCUAGGUCUUCUUUUCGGCUACUUUGUUAAGAAAACAUAGAAGCUACAGUGUAAGCGAUCUGCGAUUCAUUGUUUGGACGCUGACUUCAAUCUAGUUGGUGUUCUGAAUAUUUAGGAACUUCUUUGGUCAUAUGCCCUUUCAAAAUGUAAGAAAGUUAUAGGUGGUCAUGCAACAUUGUUGACAUUCAAAUCAUUGGUUUGUUUGGCAUUUGAAUUAAAAUCCUAGGACCAAUUGACUUAUGUCUCAUCAGAAAGAACUUGUCAAAUGUGGGUACCAGUUGUUUUGAUGUUAAGAGGUAGCUUGUGGCUCUUCUUGUUUUUUGAUUCAUUUUUCCUCCAAAGAACACUUGGCACGAACUCAUUGGAUAAUCAGAGAAUUCUCUAUUGGCUGGUUUGUGUUUA